UGGGUUCUGAUUGGUCAGAGGGUGACCUCUGACCCAAGAACGUGCGCGUGCGUUGACGUUGUGACGUCACGCGCACGUUUUUAUUCAUUUGAGGGGCAGAGCUUAAGAUGGACGCGACCAUGUGGUCCGCGCCAUCUUUGAUUUGGGCGCGAUGCCCAGAGAAGGCAGAGGAGCGGCUCCCGGCUCGUCGACGAGCAGGUAAGCUCGUGGUGUCGGCGAGGCCGUGCCGGUCGGGCACGGCUGUGGCAUGCGGCGGGUCGGGAGCCGCAACA